rnacentral:rRNA from 1 species
ACACUUUGCACUAUAGCUUCGCCUUGGCGUUAGCGGACCGUAUGUGUAGGAUCGGUGGGAGGCUAUGAAACCGGGGCGCCAGCUCUGGUGAGCCAUCCUUGAAAUACCACCCUUACUGUCGGUUGACGUCUAACCGAGGCCGUUAUCCGGUCCCGGGACAUGGCGGUGGUGGGUAGUUUGACUGGGGCGGUCGCCUCCUAAAGUGUAACGGAGAGCGCGCCCGAUGGUGGGCUCAGACCGGUCGGAAAGUCGGUCGUCGAGUGCAAUGGCAUAAGCCCGCCUGACUGCGAGACUGACAACGUCGAGCAGAGACGAAAGUCGGCCAUAGUGAUCCGGUGGUCCGCGUGGAAGGGCCAUCGCCUCAACGGAUAAAGGUA